rnacentral:rRNA from 1 species
GACGAACGCUGGCGGCGUGCUUAACACAUGCAAGUCGAACGGAAAGGCCCUGCUUUUGUGGGGUGCUCGAGUGGCGAACGGGUGAGUAACACGUGAGUAACCUGCCCUUGACUUUGGGAUAACUUCAGGAAACUGGGGCUAAUACCGGAUAGGAGCUCCUGCUGCAUGGUGGGGGUUGGAAAGUUUCGGCGGUUGGGGAUGGACUCGCGGCUUAUCAGCUUGUUGGUGGGGUAGUGGCUUACCAAGGCUUUGACGGGUAGCCGGCCUGAGAGGGUGACCGGCCAUUUGGGGAAGGAGACACGGCCCACCCCCCCGGGGGGGGGCGGGGGGGGGAAUUUUGCAAAUGGGGGGGAAGCGUGGUGAAGCCCCCCGGGGGGGGGGGGGGGGCCCUUGGUUUUUAACCCCCUUUUCCCCUGGGACGAGGGGGGGGGGGCGGAAAGGGAAAAAAAAGCCCCGGCCACCUGCGU